ensembl:lncRNA
GAGACAAGUCAUUAAGGAGCAGGUAGGGGCUAGACAGUACAGAGACAGGUCAUUAAGGAGCAGGUAGGGGUUAGACAGUACAGAGACAGGUCAUCAAGGAGCAGGUAGGGGUUAGACAGUACAGAGACAGGUCAUUAAGGAGCAGGUAGGGGUUAGACAGUACAGAGACAGGUCAUCAAGGAGCAGGUAGGGGUUAGACAGUACAGUGACAGGUCAUUGAGGAGCAGGUAGGGGUUAGACAGUACAGGUCAGACUGUGGAUGUAGGGGAUCAAACCUUUGGCCUGGGAGUCAAACAGACUAACCAGUAGAAUAAUUCAGGCGGUGGUGGACGGCUCACCUGAGCGCUGGUUCCGUGGACCGUCGAAGGAUGAGCUGUGUUCUUCAGAGCGGUGGGUUCUUCAGAGCGGUGGGUUCUUCAGAGCGGUGGGUUCUUCAGAGCGGUGGGUUCUUCAGAGCGGUGGGUUCUUCGGUGGGUUCUUCAGAGCGGUGGGUUCUUCAGAGCGGUGGGUUCUUCAGAGCGGUGGGUUCUUCUGAGCGGUGGGUUCUUCUGAGCGAUGGGUUCUUCUGAGCGGUUGGUUCUUCAGAGCGGUGGGUUCUUCUGAGCGGUGGGUUCUUCUGAGCGGUGGGUUCCUCCCUGCAGAGAGGACGGCGGCUGACGUCUGAUCGGCCGAUGAUGUCUGCGCCGAAACAGUCAUCAUCGGCCGAAACCGUUUAGAGAAUUAUAUGUUCAACGGCAAAGAGGAAGCUGAAAGGAGGAAGAUAGCAGGCAGGAAGUAUGUGGACAGGCAGUGACAACAGCUCUCCGGAGUUGUGAAAUGAUCUCUGUUGCCGUCAUGGGUCGUUGUCUC